UCGGAUAUGGUGCAAUGGAUAGCGCAGUCUCGUGGAUUCUCUCACAUGGGCUGGGAUGAGAGAUAGACCGAGGUUCGAUUCCUCGUAUCCGCC